GCGUCCCCUAGGAUAUAGUAAGAUAUUGAAUGAAUGCCAUUUAGCAGAUGCCUUUAUUUUUUUUGUAGCUUUUUCUUUUUACCCCCUUUUUCUCCCCAAUUUAGUGACAAUUGGUAGUAGUUACUGUCUUGUCUCAUCGCUGCAACUCCCGUACGGACUCGGGAGAAGCGAAGGUCGAGAGCCAUGCGGCCUCCGAAACACAACCCAACCUAGCCACAAUGCACGUCCAACCUGGAAGCCAGCCGCACCAACGUGUCGGAGGAAACACUGUACACCUGGAAGCCAGCCGCACCAACGUGUCGGAGGAAACACCGUACACCUGGAAGCCAGCCGCACCAACGUGUCGGAGGAAACACCGUACACCUGGAAGCCAGCCGCACCAACGUGUCGGAGGAAACACCGUACACCUGGCGACCUGGUCAGCAUGCACUGCACCAGGACCGCCACAGGAGUCGCUAGUGCGCAAUGAGACAAGGAUUUCCCUGCAGGCCAAACCCUCCCUAACCCGGACGACGCUGGGCCAAUUGAGCGCCGCCCCAUGGGCCUCCCGGUCACGGUCAGCUGCGACAGAGCCUGGGCUCGAACCCAGAAUCUCUGGUGGCACAGCUAGCACUGUGAUGCAGAUGCCUUUAUACAAAGCAACUUAGACAAACAUAGAUUUUUUUGUACAUGUGGUUCCUCUGGGAAUGGAAUUCUCGUCCGUGGUGUUGCUAGCGUCAUAAUAGUACAUUUAUGAACGACAUGCUCAGAACAGAAAAGGCGUCAUAUCCAGUUGCUGUGGUUUGUUUUCUGUUGUUGACAACAGGAGGGCGAGAUUGGGAUUGACACCUACUUCUAGUGUCUCCUCGUUCACGACCAACAGCCCCAUGUUCUUCCUCAGCAGCCUACACGAGUGACCUUGAGAGGCAGAGGGGUGAACACUACGUGUGACUUAUGGUAUCCACUCCUCCUGUGGACCGCCUCUUCAGAAUCCAGUAGAUGAGGACUAGAAGAGCUCCGGCAUCCAGGACAGACCCCCACCACAGGAACCCAGGCAGACACUGGAAUCUGGAGAGAUGCUACAAUGAUAUCAUCUCAGCGCUGGAGUUCACUGUCCUCAGAGCGGAGAGGACCUGAGGACUACCUGGCCUGAUGACUCCUUGCUGUCCCCAGUCUCAACUGUUCUGCCUGCGGCUAUGGAACCCUGACCUGUUCACUGGACGUGCUCCCGCACCUGCCGUCUCUAACUCUGAAUGAUCGGUUAUGAAAAGCCAACUGACAUUUUCUCCUGAGGUGCUGACCCGUUGCACCAUCUACAACCACAGUGAUUUUGAUUAUCUGACCUACCUGGUGAUCUAUGAACGUUUGAACAUCUUGGCCAUGUUCUGCUAUAAUCUCCACCCGGAACAGCCAGAUAAGAGGACUGGCCACCCCUCAGCCUUUCUAGGGUGUUUUUCCUAGCCACUGUGCUUCUACAUCUGCAUUGCUUGCCGUUUGGGGUUUUAGGCUGGGUUUCUGUACGGCACUUUGUGACAUUGGCUGAUGUAAAAAGGGCUUCAUAAAUACAUUUGAUUGAUUGACAA